rnacentral:lncRNA from 1 species
UUUCUUAAUGCACCUACACUUAUGUGACCAUUUGUUCAAUUAUUUCUCUUAAAUGAUGGUGAAAAAUAGCAAUCAAAAUGAUUGGUGAGGACCACAAUGAUUGUGAUUAUAAUAACUCGUGGUAUCUAUUUUCAAAAAUAGUUUUAAAAAAUAGUUUUUGAAAGUUUGCUUUAAGAUGUUUUAUAUAAUAAAAGUCUGUUUGAAAACGUAAAAUAUUUGUAAUUUAUUUUUAAUAUUUUUAAAUAUAUUUUAAAUUUUUUUUAUGUUUAGUGUUUAAUUAAGAUAUUUUCUAAAAACAUCAUAUUUUCUAUUAUUAAAAAUAAAAAACAAUUUUUAGUUACUGAACUUAGAGCUUGUUUGGUAGAGUUUUUAAAAACAGUUUUUUGUUCUUAAAGACAUAAAACAGUUUUUAAAAAUUCAUAACGUUGUUUGGUUGUUGUUUUCUGUUUUCAAUUUUUAAAAACAAAGUGAAAUAGAGAAUAACAUUUAGAGAAUAAAUAAAAGUUGUUUUCAUUGGUUUUUAAAAACAAUUAAAAAAACACACACUCUAUUAUUUCUCUUUUAUAUAAAAUUAUUAUUAUUAUUUUUGGCUAGGCAAAUUAACUCUAAAAUAAACAAAACUUAAUUUAUUUGAUUUGUUAACAAGUUUAUUAAUUUAAAAAAAAAAUUAAAACUUAAAUAAUAAACUCAUUAAUACCAGAAAUUUGUUAUUAUAAUAAAAUUUAUUUUUUUUAACAUAUAAUUAAAUAUCAUAUUUUCUACUAAAAAUAUAAUUUAUGAUGUUAUUAUAAUAUUACUAUUUAUGCUUUACUAAAAAGUAAAAACUAUAUAUUUUUUAAUUUAUUUGUAAUUACAAAAUUAUUUUCAUUUUGACUUCAAUUAAAUUUUAUUAAUUAAUAUUAUAUAAUUUGAAUUUAAAAUAUUUUUACAAAAUCAAAAUAAUUUUUUUUUAAAAACAAUUUGUCUGUAUAAAUCUUUUUGUUUUUUAUUUUUAAAAUCCUUUUAUAAUAAUAACUUCCCAAAUAUCCUUAGUUUUAAAAACUUUGUUUUUUUUAUUCUUUAACUUUAAAAAAGUUUCUAAAAAAAUAAAAAUAAAUCAUGAUCAAAUAAUUUUUUUUUAAAAAUUAAUUAAAGUCUUAAUUGACUUGUAUUAAAAAUGAAUAUUAAAAUUAUUUUUAUUUUAUAGAAAAUUUUGUUACGAUAAAAAAAUUCUUUCAUAAUUAAAAAAAUAUUUAUUUUUAACUCAUAUAUAAUUGUGGAUUUAAUUUUUAUUUUUUAAUAAGACUUAACUUUAAUUUGAUUUUGAAUGGUUUCGUAGUAAUUUUAAGAAGUGUUUUUAAUUUUUUUAAUAUCUUAAAAAUAAAAUUUUUUAAGUUUUAGAAAGAUUAAAAAUACUUUUUAAAAUCAUCGUAAAAAUAUACUCAUUAUCUUAUUAUAAGUUAAUUUUAUAAAUUUUUAUAAAAUAAAAGUAAUACAUUGUUUUUUAUGAUACGGUAUUAGGUGGGAAGCCCGAUUCAUAUUUUUAAUUGGAUUUAAUUUUCUAAAAUUCGGUGCCAAGGGUAUGAUCGUAAAUAAAUCACAUGGUUUACAGCGGUCACCUACUCAAUGAAACGACGCCGUUUAGAUUUUCACACAAACCCUUCCUAUAUUAUAUACCCCUUCACAGCUUAUUUCUAAUUCUCUUACCCGGCUCCCAGUACCACUCUCCUUUCCGCGCCUACCCGCGCCUACCCUAAGAAACCCUAGACCGAGUCGGGUGUAAAUUUCUUGAUGAAACCCUAGAUAUUGAUUUGGCCUAGGGACCGAGCAAUUCUUCCUGAGAAGUUUAUUGGUCACCGGUUUUUCCAAUGUCUCGGUGUUUUCCGUACCCUCCACCGGAUUUCAAUGGGAACUGUACUCGCGAUGUGGCUGUGAUUGAAUCGAUUAAGGUUUGUUGAGCAUUCAUGCUGUCUAGAGCUUCUGCGUUUAUGCUCAACUGCCUUUUCCGGUUCAUGAUCGUGAUUGUGAUAGUUGUAUCUUGCCUCUGUUCUUAUAAUUCAAUCAUCUAAUUUUCAUCAUUAUAUAUUAA